GAUUGUGACUAAGUUUUGGAAUGUAUAUUUGCUUGUAUACAUUCUUUUCACUUGUUUGUGUUGUUUCUUCUUUUGUUCUUGUUCAUUGCAUCUUCUACUUUACACUACCCAUUAUAAGUAACUCUUAAUUGAGGCCAUCUUGUAAUUUGGAUAGAGGGAUGAAAUUUACACUCAUAAAUGUUAAGUUGGGAUAUAUUUAAAAUGACACAUUAAUAACCCAUAAGAGUAUGAAUAAUAAUUUUAAUAACCAAACUGCUAAGUAAUUGAAUAUGGAAGA
rnacentral:lncRNA from 1 species